rnacentral:misc_RNA from 1 species
GAAAGCUUGUAACAUUUCUUACGACAAAUUGUUGGAAAAAAAUGGGACACAAAAUCAAAUUCGCAGUGAAACACCCAAUUCCUCAAGAGCACUGUGUAAUAAUUGCGGGGCUGCUAAUAAAUCAUUACAAAAAAAGGUAAAUUUACUAUGCCCUUGCGAACAUCAUCAAAUAUUUUCUGAAGAUAAUCAUACUGAACACCAACAAAAUAAAAACAAAAAAUGUAAAU